rnacentral:rRNA from 1 species
UACGUAGGGUGCGAGCGUUGUCCGGAAUUAUUGGGCGUAAAGAGCUCGUAGGCGGCUUGUCGCGUCGGAUGUGAAAGCCCGGGGCUUAACUCCGGGUCUGCAUUCGAUACGGGCAGGCUAGAGUUCGGUAGGGGAGAUCGGAAUUCCUGGUGUAGCGGUGAAAUGCGCAGAUACCAGGAGGAACACCGGUGGCGAAGGCGGAUCUCUGGGCCGAUACUGACGCUGAGGAGCGAAAGCGUGGGGAGCGAACAGG